GGAUUAGAUACCCUGGUAGUCCACGCCGUAAACGAUGGACACUAGCUGUGGGGACUUCGGUCUCCGUGGCCAAGCGAAAGUGAUAAGUGUCCCACCUGGGGAGUACGUUCGCAAGAAUGAAACUCAAAGGAAUUGACGGGGGCCCGCACAAGCGGUGGAGCAUGUGGUUUAAUUCGAUGAUACGCGAGGAACCUUACCAGGGCUUAAAUGCAGUCUGCAUAGGGUAGAGAUACCCUUUUCUUCGGACCGAUUGCAAGGUGCUGCAUGGUUGUCGUCAGCUCGUGCUG
rnacentral:rRNA from 1 species